GCACCGGAAGGCGCACCGGAAGGCGCACCGGAAGGCGCGGCGGGACCAAGUGGAACGGGGGAUUUCCCUCAUCUACCUUUCUUUGGGAGAUACGACUGAAACCAACAAAAGCCAAGUUUGGUAAAUAAGAAGUUUAAACAAGUGCUUCUCUGUACAGCUCAUCCACUUCCUCAUCUGUAAACCGAUCCCCCAUGGUUGUCAGCAGCUCUCUCAAGUAAUCUUCCUGUAUGGUGCCUGGAGAAUAAAGAACAAGGGAUCAGAAUACAUACUAUUCUGAGGGUUAAUUACAAAGAAUAUCUAUACUUGACUAAGCAUGUUCUGUAUGUUACAAACUAUAAACAUGCAAAUAUAUGAACUACAGGGUGUCCACCUACUUAAAACAGCCUCAGCAGAGAAGUGCCUAGAAAAAUGCCUAGCUGCUUAGCAGCACUGCUCCGCUCUAUCAUUUGCUCUAUCAUUCUGCCUCCACAUUCAGCUUCUGAUCUCUUGAUAAGAGAGACUAAACCUAUGCCUAAACAAAGUAAUAAAAAGUAUGGUUAAAGA
rnacentral:lncRNA from 1 species